AUAUCUUAAGUUUUCUGUUUCGACCCCGUUUAGUCACUAAAACUAUACCGAACUGUAAUCUUUAUUAGAUAGCUGUCGGAUUUUAUUUUUUACCUUCCGGGUGUCAGAAUGACAUGAAACAUUAAAUCUAGCCUCAUAAAAAUAAUUCUGACUUACCCUCCAGUUUUCAUAAUUUUCUGAUACUGUGCAUUUUCUGCUAAUUUAUCUGCCCUGUUUCUCACAAAAAAUUCUAAAUCUUUUGUUUUCACUCCGAUUUCAGCACAGGUCGUUUCUAGCUCAUAUUUCACUUCUCCAAAUCUAAUAAAAAUAGUAUCUUAUACUAUUUUUAUUUAUUUUUAUUUUUAUAUUUAAAAUCCGGUAUAUUACAUUCCACCACAACCUCAUCGGAACCAUUCAAAUGGCUUUCCAACCAAAUGUACAUCGUAACUUGAUAAUUUUAAAAGUGCGGUACCUUACAAAUUU
rnacentral:lncRNA from 1 species